CCGAGGGGCUGUCAUGCGGGGCGCAGGUCUCCGCCCUCAGCUGCGCCCGGCGGUUCCGGCUCCACCCUCGGCCGCCGCCUCAGCCCCACCAUGGUGCUGGAGUCGGUGGUCGCGGACCUGCUGAACCGCUUCCUGGGCGACUAUGUGGAGAACCUGAACAAAUCGCAGCUGAAGCUGGGGAUCUGGGGCGGUGAUGUGGCUUUAGAUAAUCUACAGAUAAAAGAAAAUGCUCUGAGUGAAUUGGAUGUUCCUUUUAAAGUCAAGGCUGGCCAAAUUGAUAAACUAACUUUGAAGAUUCCUUGGAAGAACCUUUAUGGAGAAGCAGUUGUUGCGACCCUAGAGGGAUUAUACCUGCUUGUUGUCCCUGGAGCAAGUAUUAAAUAUGAUGCUGAAAAAGAAGAAAAAUCCUUACAAGAUAUUAAACAGAAAGAGCUAUCCCGAAUUGAAGAAGCCCUUCAAAAAGCAGCAGAGAAAGGCGCACAUUCAGGGGAAUUCAUAUAUGGCUUGGAAAACUUUGUUUACAAGGACGUCAAGCCUGGACGUAAACGUAAAAAGCACAAAAAACAUUUUAAGAAACCUUUUAAAGGUCUCGAUCGCUCAAAAGAUAAACCGAAAGAAGCCAAAAAGGAUACAUUUUUGGAAAAAUUGGCAACUCAAGUAAUUAAAAAUAUACAAGUAAAAAUCACAGACAUUCACAUUAAAUAUGAAGAUGAUGUCACUGAUCCAAAGCAGCCUCUUUCAUUUGGUGUCACACUGGGAGAACUUAGCCUAUUGACUGCAAAUAAACAGUGGACUCCGUGCAUAUUAAAUGAAGCAGAAAAAAUUAUAUACAAGCUUAUACGACUUGACAGUCUCAGUGCCUACUGGAACGUGAACUGCAGCGUGUCUUACCGGAGAUCAAGGGAACAGAUCUUGGAUCAGCUGAAAAGUGAAAUUCUUACAAGUAGCAAAAUACCCCCAAACCAUCAAUAUAUUUUCCAGCCAAUAUCAGCCUCUGCAAAACUCUACAUGAAUCCUUAUGCAGAAACAGAGCUCAAAACACCCAAACUUGAUUGGAACAUAGAAGUACAAAAUAUUGCCAUUGAACUGACUAAACCUCAGUACUUAAGUAUGAUUGACCUUUUGGAGUCAGUGGAUUAUAUGGUUAGAAAUGCUCCUUACAGGAAAUAUAAACCUUAUUUACCGCUUCAUACCAAUGGUCGACAAUGGUGGAAGUAUGCAAUUGAUUCUGUCCUUGAAGUUCAUAUAAGAAGGUAUACACAGAUGUGGUCAUGGAGUAACAUAAAAAAACACAGACAGUUGCUCAAGAGUUAUAAAAAUGCCUACAAAAACAAGCUAACCCAGACUAAAAUCUCCGAAGAAAUACAGAAACAAAUUCAGGAUUUAGAGAAGACUUUAGAUGUUUUUAACAUAAUUUUAGCAAGGCAACAAGCACAAGUUGAGGUGAUUCGAUCAGGGCAAAAAUUAAGGAAAAAGUCUGCUGACACAGGCGAGAAACGUGGAGGCUGGUUUAGUGGGUUUUGGGGUAAGAAGGAAUCUAGGAAAAAGGAUGAAGAAUCUUUGAUUCCUGAAACUAUUGAUGACCUUAUGACUCCAGAGGAAAAAGAUAAGCUCUUCACUGCUAUUGGUUAUAGUGAGAGCACCCACGACCUAACUUUACCCAAGCAGUAUGUUGCACAUAUAAUGACACUGAAGUUAGUAAGCACCUCUGUUACAAUAAGAGAGAACAAAAAUAUUCCAGAAAUACUAAAAAUUCAGAUAAUUGGCCUGGGCACCCAAGUAUCUCAGCGACCAGGAGCACAAGCACUUAAGGUAGAAGCAAAAUUAGAACACUGGUAUAUAACAGGUCUGAGACAGCAGGAUAUUGUACCAUCACUUGUGGCUUCAAUUGGUGAUACUGCAUCAUCCUUGCUUAAAAUUGAAUUUGAAACCAAUCCAGAGAAUAGUACUGCUGACCAGACUCUGAUUGUUCAGUCUCAGCCUGUGGAAGUCAUCUAUGAUGCUAAAACCAUCAAUGCAGUGGUUGAAUUCUUUCAGUCAGAUAAGGGAUUAGAUCUUGAGCAAAUAAAAUCAGCUACAUUGAUGAAGCUGGAAGAAAUUAAAGAGAGAACAGCUACAGGACUUACACAUAUUAUUGAAACACGAAAAGUCCUUGAUUUAAGGAUAAAUCUGAAGCCUUCUUAUCUAAUAGUUCCACAGACAGGUUUUCACCACAAAAAGUCAAAUCUUCUCAUUUUAGAUUUUGGUACAUUUCAGCUUAAUAGUAAAGAUCAAGGUUUGCAGAAGACUAGUAAUUCAUCUCUGGAAGAAAUAAUGGAUAAAGCAUAUGACAAGUUUGAUGUUGAAAUAAAAAGUGUGCAACUACUUUUUGCAAGAGCAGAGGAAAACUGGAAAAAGUGUCGAUUUCAGCAUCCAUCAACUAUGCAUAUAUUGCAACCCAUGGAUAUUCAUGUUGAGUUGUCCAAGGCAAUGGUAGAAAAAGACAUUAGAAUGGCCAGAUUUAAAGUAUCAGGAGGGCUUCCUUUGAUGCAUGUGAGAAUUUCUGACAAGAAGAUGAGAGAUGUGCUAUGUUUGAUUAACAGCAUACCCUUGCCACAGAUAUCAUCAGCACCGUCUCCAGAGAGACAGGUGUCCUCAAUUCCUAUUAUUUCAGAUAGGACUAAAGGCCUACUUGGCACUUCACUGUUGCUAGAUGGAGUGGAAUCAGAGUCUGAUGAUGAAUAUUUUGAUGCUGAAGAUGGAGACACCCAGCCCGGUAAAAGUAAGAAAGGAUCUGAACUAAAAAAAGCUGCAGAGGCACCAAAUGAGGAGCUCAUUAAUCUUCUACUAAAGUUUGAAAUUAAAGAGGUGGUUUUGGAAUUUACGAAACAAGAGAAAGAAGAAAAUACAAUUCUAGUGUUUAAUGUUACUCAGUUAGGAACAGAGGCUACAGUGAGAACAUUUGAUUUAACUGCUGUAUCUUAUUUAAAGAAAAUCAGCUUGGAUUACCAUGAAAUUCAAGGAUCCAAAAAGAAGCCCCUUCACUUGAUUAGCUCUUCUGACAAACCUGGAUUAGAUCUCUUAAAAGUGGAGUAUAUUAAGGCUGAUAAGAAUGGACCUAGUUUCCAAACUACUUUUGAAAAAACUGAACAAACAUUUAAGGUGGCUUUUUCAUCUUUAAAUCUGUUGAUGCAGACACAAGCUCUUCUCUCUUCUAUUAAUUACCUGACAACCAUUAUUCCAUCAGAUGGCCAAAACAUAGGUGAUACUAAGGAAGUACAAAUUUCAACUGAAAAUCAACAAAAAAAUUCGGCUCUGCAGAAAGUGAUUGUAUCCUCUAAAGAUAGUGACAUUAUUGACUUCAGGCUAUUUGCCAAGUUGAAUGCUUUCUGUGUCAUCAUUUGCGAUGAGAAGAACAAUAUUGCUGAAAUCAAGAUUCAAGGCCUCGAUUCCUCUCUUUCUCUUCAGUCGAGAAAACAGUCACUAUUUGCCAGACUGGAAAAUAUUGUUGUCACAGAUAUUGAUCCUAAUACAGUUCAUAAAAAAGCCGUGUCAAUAAUGGGAAAUGAAGUUUUUCGUUUUAACUUGGAUUUGUAUCCACAUGCUACUGAGGGGGAUGCCUAUACUGACAUGUCCAAAGUGGAUGGUGUGGUAUCACUGAACGUUGGCUGCAUUCAGAUUGUCUAUCUUCAUAAAUUCCUCAUGUCACUUCUGAACUUCCUGAACAAUUUCCAGACAGCCAAAGAGGCUCUGAGUGCUGCCACUGCCCAGGCUGCAGAAAAGGCUGCCACAAGUGUGAAAGAUCUUGCCCAGAGGAGUUUUCGUGUUUCUAUCAAUAUUGAUUUGAAAGCACCAGUUAUAGUCAUCCCGCAGUCUUCCAUUUCCACCAAUGCAGUCGUGGUAGAUCUUGGAUUAAUCAGAGUUCAAAAUCAGUUCAGUCUGGUGUCUGGUGAAGACUACUUAAACCCUCCAGUAAUUGAUAGAAUGGAUGUGCAGCUAACAAAGCUUAAGCUUUCUAGGACAGUGAUCCAGCCAGGCAUCUCCCAUCCUGAUAUUCAGCUAUUGUACCCAAUUAACUUGGAGUUUUCUGUAAAUCGGAAUCUAGCUUCCUCUUGGUACCACAAGGUACCUGUUGUGGAAAUUAAAGGACAUCUUGAGUCAAUGAAUGUUAGUCUAAAUCAAGAAGAUCUUAACCUUUUGUUUAGAAUACUAGCAGAAAAUCUUGGUGAGGCUACUGAAGACUUGAAUAAAGUGAAACCAGGAAUACAAAAGACAGGUGAACCUAAAGAGCCACUUGAAACCUCUGUGUCACAACAAGAUGUACGUGCUUUACAAAGUACUUUAACAGCUGGAGUGGAAGAAAUUAAAUCUGUAGACAUCAUUAAUAUGGUGCUCAAUUUUGAAAUCAAAGAGGUUGUGAUUACUUUGAUGAAAAAAGCAGAAAAGAAAGGAAGGCCUAUACAUGAACUAAAUGUCCUGCAGCUUGGAAUGGAAGCUAGAGUUAAAACUUAUGACCUGACUGCUCAAGCUUAUCUAAAAAAAAUUAGCAUGCGAUGCUUUGAGUUUGCUGACUCUAAAGGAGAACCUCUUCACAUUAUUAACUCUUCUAAUGUAACUGACGAACCCCUUCUGAAAAUGCUGUUGACAAAGGCAGACAGUGAUGGACCAGAAUUUAAAACCAUUCAUGAAAAUACCAAACAGAGACUAAAGGUUUCAUUUUCAUCCUUAGACUUAGUACUUCAUUUGGAAGCUUUACUCUCCUUCAUGGAUUUUGUAUCAUCUGCUAUUCCAUCCUCUGAACCUUCCUAUUCUGAGAAGGAAUCUGAGCUGAAACCACUUAUGGGGGAGUCCAGAAGUAUUGUUGUCAAAGCUGUAUCCAGCAGCACUUCUCAAGAUGAUGUGUUUGAUUUAAAGAUCAUAGCUGAAUUGAAUGCAUUUAAUGUCUUUGUCUGUGAUCAGAAGUGUAACAUUGCAGAUAUUAGAAUACACGGAAUGGAUGCCUCUAUUUCUGUGAAGCCAAAGCAGACUGACAUGUUUGCCAGACUUAAGGAUAUCAUAGUUACAAAUGUUGAUUUGCUGUCUAUUCACAAAAAGGCUGUCUCUAUUUUGGGAGAUGAAGUCUUUAGGUUCCAAAUGACUCUUUUUCCAGACGCUACAGAAGGAAAGGCCUAUGCUGAUAUGUCUAAAGUAGAUGGCAAACUUAGUCUCAAAGUGGGUUGUAUUCAAAUUGUUUAUGUUCAUAAAUUCUUCAUGUCUCUUUUGAACUUCCUCAACAAUUUCCAAACUGCCAAAGAAGCUUUGAGCGCAGCCACAGUCCAGGCUGCAGAAAGAGCUGCUUCCAGCAUGAAAGACUUGGCUCAAAAGAGUUUCCGCCUUUUGAUGGAUAUCAAUUUGAAAGCACCAGUUAUUAUCAUUCCUCAGUCUUCAGUGUCACCUAAUGCUGUUAUAGCAGAUCUGGGUUUAAUCAGAGUUGAAAACAAAUUUAGCUUAGUUUCUGUAGGACAUUAUUCUCUUCCCCCAGUCAUUGACAAAAUGAACAUCCAGCUCACUCAGUUGAAGCUGUCCAGAACUAUUUUGCAGGCUGGCUUGCCACAGCAUGACAUUGAAAUUUUAAAACCAGUCAAUAUGCUUUUGUCCAUUCAGCGAAAUUUAGCAGCAACAUGGUAUACGCAAAUUCCAGGGAUGGAGAUCAAAGGAAAACUAAAACCUAUGCAGGUUGCUCUCAGUGAAGAUGACUUAACAGUUUUAAUGAAAAUUUUGCUAGAAAAUCUUGGAGAAGCUUCUUCACAGCCAAGCCCUACGCAGUCUACCCAGGAGGCUGUAAGAGUAAGAAAAGAUGUUUCGAGUGGACCUGACCACCUCAAAGCACAAGAAGAUUUGCCAGACUCAGAGCUUUCUGUAGACCAGAAUGUUACUCUGCAAUUUGACUUUCACUUUGAAUCUCUUUCCAUUGUCCUUUAUAACAAUGAUGUCAACCAGGAAUCCAAACUUGCAUUUCAUAAUGACAACUUCCGGCUUGGAGAACUCAGACUACAUCUUAUGGCCUCCGCAGGGAAGAUGUUUAAGGAUGGCUCAAUGAAUGUUAGCAUUAAACUUAAGACAUGCACCCUUGAUGAUCUCAGAGAAGGCAUUGAGAGAGCAACAUCAAGAAUGAUUGAUAGGAAGAAUGACCAAGAUAACAACAGUUCUAUGAUCGAUAUAAGUUACAAACAAGGCAAAAAUGGAAGUCAUAUUGAUGCUGUUCUUGACAAGCUGUAUAUAUGUGCCAGUGUGGAAUUUCUGAUGACUGUGGCAGAUUUCUUUAUCAAAGCUGUGUCUCAGAGUCCAGAAAAUAUGGCAAAAGAAGCACAGAUUCCACUACGACAGACUGCCACAGCAAAACUCAGGAUAGACAAAGAUGACUCUUUAAAGCCAAAUAUGACUUUAAAGGCCAUGAUUACAGAUCCGGAAGUGGUGUUUGUUGCCAGCCUGACAAAGGCUGAUGCUCCUGCUCUGACAGCCUCAUUCCAGUGUGACCUCUCUCUGUCAACAUCCAAACUUGAACAGAUGAUGGAAGCUUCUGUGAGAGAUCUUAAAGUGCUCGCUUGCCCUUUUCUCAGAGAAAAGAGGGGAAAAAACAUUACCACAGUCUUACAGCCCUGUUCUUUAUUUAUGGAAAAAUGUACAUGGGCUUCAGGAAAACAAAAUAUAAAUAUUAUUGUUGAAGAAUUUAUAAUUAAGAUUUCACCCAUAAUUCUUAAUACUGUGAUGACAAUCAUGGCUGCUCUGUCUCCAAAGACAAAAGAAGAUGAAUCCAAAGAUACAUCUAAGGAAACAGAAAAUCUUUGGGGUGUAAAAUCUAUUAGUGAUUAUAAUUCUUGGUUUCUUGGUGUCGAUACGGCAACAGAAAUAACAGAAAAUUUCAAAGACAUUGACCGUCCAUUCAUAGAAGAAAAUUGUGCUGUUGUUGUAGAGUCAGUUCAAGUUACCUUAGAAUGUGGCCUUGGGCAUCGAACUGUACCUUUAUUAUUGGCAGAAUCUAAAUUUUCAGGAAAUAUUAAAAAUUGGACUUCUCUGAUGAGUGCUGCUGCUGACAUGACACUAGAGGUUCACUAUUACAAUGAGGUCCAUGCUGUUUGGGAGCCACUGAUCGAGAGAGUGGAGGGGAAGAAACAAUGGAAUUUAAGGCUUGAUGUAAAGAAGAACCCAGUCCAGGAUAAAAGUUUGAUGCCAGGAGAUGAUUUUGGUUUUAUUCCUGAGCCACAAACAGCAGUUCAUAUUUCUUCAGGAGAUACAAUGAAUAUAACAAUAUCCAAAAGUUGUCUUAAUGUUUUCAACAAUUUAGCAAAGGGUUUUUCAGAGGGCACUGCUUCUACUUUUGACUACUCUUUAAAAGACAGGGCUCCUUUUACAGUAAAAAAUGCUCUAGGUGUUCCCGUUAAGGUACAGCCCAAUCAUAAUCUCAGAGUAAUGGGCUCCCCUGAGAAAAGUGGUAUUUAUGAUGUUGAUGCUGGUCAGAAUUUGGAAUUGGAAUAUGCCAGCGUGGAACCUUCACGUCAAGGAAAACUAUCUAUAUUGAACCGUCAAGAAAGCUCCUUCUUCACUCUGACCAUUGUACCUCAUGGAUAUACAGAAGUUGGGAAAAUCCCUGUUGCCAGACCUGGGCGGCAAUUGUAUAAUGUCCGGAAUCCCAAUGCUACUCAUUCUGACUCAGUCUUGGUACAAAUUGAUGCAACUGAAGGGAAUAAAGUAAUCACCAUCCGCUCUCCUCUUCAGAUUAAAAACCAUUUCUCUGUUGCAUUCAUCAUUUAUAAAUUUGUUAAGAAUGUUAAGCUGUUGGAGCGCAUUGGAGUAGCCAGACCUGAAGAGGAGUUCCAUGUUCCUUUAGAUUCAUAUAGAUGUCAACUGUUUAUUCAGCCGGCUGGCAUCUUAGAGAAUCAGUACAAAGAAUCCACCACUUAUAUUUCCUGGAAGGAAGAACUUCACAGGAGCAGAGAAGUCAGAUGCAUGCUGCAGUGUCCAUCAGUAGAAAUCAACUUCUUACCUCUCAUGGUCAAUACGGUUGCUCUGCCUGAUGAAUUAACCUAUAUAAGUACACAUGGGGAAGACUGGGAUCCAGCUUACGUUAUUCAUCUUUAUCCUACUCUCACUUUGAGGAAUCUUCUCCCAUAUUCUCUAAGAUAUUUACUUGAGGGAACAGCAGAAACUCAUGAGCUAGCGGAAGGCAGUGCUGCUGAUGUUCUGCAUUCGAGAAUCAGUGGAGAAAUAAUGGAAUUAGUUCUGAUGAAAUAUCAGGGUAAAAAUUGGAAUGGACAUUUCCGUAUAUGUGACACACUUCCCGAGUUCUUUCUUGUGUGUUUUUCUUCUGACUCUACAGAAGUAAUGACACUCGACCUGUCAGUACAUGUCAGGCGAAUUGGCAGCCGGAUGGUGCUGUCUGUCUUUAGUCCCUAUUGGCUAAUCAACAAGACUUCUCGGGUUCUCCAGUAUCGUUCAGAAGAUAUUCAUGUGAAACAUCCAGCUGAUUUCAGGGAUAUUAUUUUAUUCUCUUUCAAGAAGAAGAACAUUUUUAGUAAAAAUAAGGUACAAUUAAAAAUUUCAACUAGUGCCUGGUCCAGUAGUUUUUCAUUGGAUACAGUGGGAAGUUAUGGGUGUGUGAAGUGUCCUGCCAACAAUAUGGAAUACCUGGUUGGUGUUAGCAUCAAAAUGAGCAGUUUCAAUCUUACUCGAAUAGUUACUCUGACUCCCUUUUGUACCAUUGCAAACAAGUCAUCGUUAGAACUAGAAGUUGGUGAAAUUGCAUCUGAUGGUUCAAUGCCAACUAAUAAGUGGAACUAUAUUGCUUCCUCAGAGUGCCUUCCAUUUUGGCCUGAAAAUUUGUCAGGCAAACUUUGUGUGCGAGUGGUGGGCUGUGAGGGAUCUUCCAAACCAUUCUUUUAUAACCGACAGGAUAAUGGCACUUUACUGAGUUUAGAAGAUCUGAACGGGGGUAUCUUGGUGGAUGUAAACACUGCUGAACAUUCCACUGUCAUAACCUUUUCUGAUUACCAUGAGGGAUCUGCACCUGCUCUGAUAAUGAACCACACACCAUGCGGCAUCCUCACAUAUAAACAGAGUGGGUCACAGGAAGAAGUAGAAUUACAGCCAAGACAAGCUCGACUUUUUGCCUGGGCAGAUCCUACUGGUACCAGAAAAUUGACAUGGAAAUAUGCAGCAAAUGUUGGGGAACACGAUCUGUUAAAGGAUGAAUGUGGACAGUUUGCAUAUGACGCAAACAUCCAGAUACACUGGGUAUCAUUCCUGGAUGGGCGCCAGAGAGUUUUGCUUUUCACUGAUGAUGUGGCCCUGGUUUCCAAAGCACUGCAAGCAGAAGAAAUGGAGCAGGCCAAUCAUGAGAUAACCUUUUCUCUUCACAGUCUGGGACUUUCACUGGUUAACAAUGAAAACAAGCAGGAAGUUUCAUAUAUUGGCAUAACCAGUUCUGGUGUUAUUUGGGAAAUGAAGCCAAAACGGAAAUGGAAGCCUUUUAGUCAAAAGCAGAUAAUCUUGUUGGAACAGUCCUAUAAGAAAUAUCAAGAAUCAAGAGGCCAUGGCUGGAUUAAACUAGACAAUAAUUUUGAGGUCAAUUUUGAUAAAGUUCCAAUGGAAAUGCGCCUCCCUUUUCAGUGCCCUAUAAAGCGAGAUUUUUUAUCAGGAAUUCAGAUUGAGUUUAAGCAGUCUCCUCACCAGAGAAGUUUAAGGGCCAGAUUGUAUUGGCUUCAGGUUGAUAAUCAGUUACCAGGUACAAUGUUCCCUGUUUUAUUUCAUCCUGUGGCCCCUCCAAAAUCUAUUGCUUUGGAUUCAGAGCCCAAACCUUUCAUUGAUGUGAGUGUCAUUACAAGAUUUAAUGAGUACAGUAAAGUCUUACAGUUCAAGUAUUUUAUGGUCCUCAUUCAAGAAAUGGCCUUAAAAGUUGAUCAGGGAUUUCUAGGAGCUAUUACUGCACUGUUUACCCCCGCAACAGACCCUGAAGCUGAAAGCAAACGGACAAAGUUAAUCCAGCAAGAUGUUGAUGCUCUAAACACAGAAUUAAUGGAGACCUCAAUGACUGAUAUGUCAGUUCUUAGUUUCUUUGAACAUUUCCAUAUUUCUCCUGUUAAGUUGCAUUUAAGUCUGUCUUUGAGUUCCGGAGGUGAAGAGUCAGACAAAGAAAAACAGGAAAUGAUUGCAAUUCAUUCUGUCAAUCUGCUAUUGAAAAGCAUAGGUGCUACCCUGACUGACGUGGAUGACCUUAUAUUCAAACUUGCUUAUUAUGAAAUUAAGUAUCAGUUUUACAAGAGAGAUCAGCUCAUGUGGAGUGUUUUUAGACACUACACUGAACAGUUCUUGAAACAGAUGUAUGUCCUUGUAUUGGGCUUAGAUGUUCUUGGAAACCCAUUUGGAUUAAUUAGAGGCCUGUCUGAAGGAGUUGAAGCUUUAUUCUAUGAACCCUUCCAGGGUGCUGUUCAAGGCCCUGAAGAAUUUGCUGAGGGGUUAGUGAUUGGAGUGAGAAGUCUCUUUGGACACACAGUAGGUGGUGCAGCAGGAGUGGUAUCUCGAAUCACUGGUUCUGUUGGAAAAGGUUUGGCAGCAAUUACAAUGGACAAGGAAUAUCAGCAAAAAAGAAGGGAAGAGAUGGGUCGACAGCCUAAAGAUUUUGGAGACAGCCUGGCCAGAGGAGGAAAGGGCUUCCUGCUUGGUGUUGUUGGUGGAGUGACUGGAAUAAUAACAAAACCUGUAGAAGGUGCCAAAAAGGAAGGAGCUGCUGGAUUCUUUAAAGGAAUUGGAAAAGGACUUGUGGGUGCUGUGGCUCGUCCAACUGGUGGAAUCAUAGAUAUGGCCAGCAGCACCUUCCAAGGAAUUCAGAGAGCAGCAGAAUCAACUGAGGAAGUGUCCAGCCUCCGCCCGCCUCGCCUGAUCCAUGAAGACGGCAUCAUUCGCCCAUAUGACAGACAGGAAUCCGAAGGCUGUGAUUUAUUUGAGCAAGAACUGGAAAUACAGGAAUAAAUGUUUCCUAAACUGCUACUUGAUUUCAUCCUUAAAAAUCAAAACAAACUGUGGUAUUAAUUGACUGUCUUUGAUUUAUUUAGAUUGAGAGUCAUUUUAAUGAAAUUUUCUUUACAACUCUCACCUCUGUCUGAACUUUUUAUCAUAGUGGCUUGAUGACAAAUAAAAAUGGUGGUAUUCCCGUUAAUACUGUACAGGAAUAAACGAUCAAUAUAAAAAAUUAAAGGAUGCAGGAAAUCAACUCUCUUCUCCAUUUGGUUGAGAAAGACUUUAUUGAGCUCAGAAGGACACACUUUUGCUAUCACUUUGAAAAUUUUCUCUUUUCUUAUAGUAUUCAUGUGCAUUUCACAAAAAGUUGAAAAAAGAAAAGGACAAUUAUGUCCUAUCUAUUGUGUGUUCUUUAUGUUUCUGAGUCCUAAUGAUGGAAUUACGUAGCUAUGUUUCACAAAUCACCCUAAAUUUAUUCAAGUUAUGAGACUGGAACAAUUAACUUGGGCAUAUGUUUUAAUAAUUGAAGUAUCAGUUGCUCUUGGUCUGUCCUUAGACCUCAAAUAAGAAUUGGCACAUGAAUUUUGAGAAUAUGUUCCUUAAUUUCUUUUUUCCUUUUUUAACCUCUUAGUACUCUUGGUAGAUAAUUGGCAGUUGUUUUAUAAUUAUGUACCUUCUCAGCCUUUAGCAUUUAUGCUUUUCAAAAAUUGAAUCUUCUUGUUGAUAUGCUUAUUUCACAAUUAGUAGCUUUAAUUAAUAUAAAUAGAAGUUGAACAUGUAUUUAGGCACAUUACUUAUGUGGCACUUAAUUUAUAGAUAUCUUUAUUUUUAAAGACCAAACUUUUUGCUUUUAAUUCCUUAAAGAGGAUUCAUUAUCUUAAUGAGAACAAAAAUAAAUAUAAAUUAUUUUGAAAUUAAUAUUCCCAUAGUCAAUUUCAAAAUAAGUUAUGUUUUGACUUCUCUUUUUUAAUAAAUGAUAGAGAUGUUCAAUUUGAUUUAGCAGCGUCCUAUCUAGCAACUUUCUUUUUUUCCCCAAAAUUGAAAGCAAAGUAUAAACUUAGAUUUAAUGUGUUAUCCAUUUGAAGAGGAUGAAACUGUUAACAAACUAUUCACUUGGAUUAUAUAUAUUUUUAAACUAUAGUUAUCAAAAAAUAAUUUGAAUGCUUCAUAUUUAAAACAAGCACUUUAAAGAAGAAAGAAGGACAUCCAAAGACCAGCCUAAAACUGUAGCUGACAAACUUUUCUUGUGCCUAGAUAAUUGAGGGUUGGCAAAAAUGCCACCGCACGUACAGUUUCUGUGAAAAUCAAGCACAAUACCUAAUUCAAGAUGCUGUCUUAAAUCAUCACUAAUAAUUACCCUUCCUUCUUAGGUAAAAGUAAUGAUUUUUAAUUUUCCUGGAUAUAUUGCAAUUUUAAUGAAACUUCACUUUUGGGAAAUCGUAUAACUUGUUAAAAUUUUUUCCUUAUUGUUUACUUUUUUUUUAGCUUUUUAUGUUAUAAACCUUUUUCUUGUGAUUUCCCUUUUUACAACUGCAUGUUCAUAAGCACAGAACUUCAAGAAACUUUAUUUUGGUUAAAUAUAGGUACCUUAUCUGAUUUAUUCGUUUUUGUUAAGAUAUGAGACAGCCCUUUAAACUUUAAUGUGUUAUCACAGUUACUGGAAGAAAUAGAAUGAUUGCACAUUAAUGAGAGAACUUGGUAAUUUUUUUCUGUGUGUGGCAGGGGUAGGCAUGGAUAAUUAAGAAACUUAGGCCUUUUCGUCCCUUGCCCAUCUUAGCUGUAAUCAGUCAGUUGGGUCUGAAAUGUUUUUUGCUUAUCCAGAUAAUGCUGGACAUGCCCAAGAAAUAAGACUUCUGUCCUUAAGGGACCAAGUAUAACAAAAACAUGUAAAUAUUAAAGAGAACUAGGGUUUAAAAUUAUGUCCUGCUAGCCCUUAUUGUAAUAUUGGUGUAUUCUAAAUAAUUUAUUUGGAAAUCUUUUGAUUUACCCCAUUUUCUUUUUUUCCUGAGUAUUGCUCUGUAUUCUUCAACACUAAGCUUUGAAAGUUACUAAAUCAAAUACUGUAUUUUCAUAGGAUAUACUCUUCUGCUUAUCCUUUAUUCUCCUAGGAUAAUUACAGGUUACACACACAUAUAUAUGUGUAUAAACACACAUGUAUAUGAUAUAUAGCCAGUUUUUAUUUAAUAUUCAUCUUGGUUCAUGUAAUUAUAAUCAUAGUAUUUGAAAUGGUGUUCCUUGCUUUUUCAUUUUAAUUAUAUUUUUACAUUUUCAUAGAAAUGCUUUAUUCUUAAUUCUUGCAUUACCAUCCUUUGAGAUAACCUUAUAUCACGUAUUUGGCCAUUCCCAGUUCUUGACAUUAAAGGUAUUUCUGUUAUUUUACUAGCAGUAAUAAUGCUGUGAUAAAUAUCAUUAUACAUGUUGCUUUUUUGUAUCUUGUGUUAUUUUCUUAGAAUCUACUUGAAAAAAUUUAAUGCUUUUGCUAAAUAUUGUAAAUUCUUCAAGGUGUAUUUUGGGAAGGGAGAGUGAAUAUUUUAACUAAUCUCGUUUCCUGCUGCCAUCAGUGACUGAAUAUCUUAAUCCAAAUCUCAGAGUAUAGUGGAUUUCUAUAGAAAUAAGGUUUCUAUAGUGUAUUAUGAUGAUGAAUUUUACUUUAAGAGCUUUUAAUGGUUUAAACCGCCAUAGCCUGAUAACUAAUGAAAAUGCGUACAAGAUGGAAAGUGGGUAGUAUGUCUUGUACAUUGCAUCUCAGAUCUAAAUAUUUUACCAUAUUUAAAUUUCAAAGAUGAAAAUAAACGUACUAGGCUAUUAUAUUCAUUUCCUGUUUUCUCUUUAAAGAAAUUAAGGUAUAAAUGUUAAAAGAUUUUAGCUAAUUCACAUAGGCAAGAUGUGAAGCAAGUGACUAUUAAACUCCACCUCUCUGAGACCCAUUCUGAAGAUGAGACCCCAGUUCUUUGGGGAUUCAUCUUUCUUAUUCAUGUCUUUUUGUAAUUGUCAAGGAAUGACUGGGAACUAAGGAUCUUUAAAAAAUGUGUAUUUAAGCAUUGAGAUAAUAAGAAGUGUGCUUUCUCUGCUUGUGAUUAUUGAUUAUAUUAUCUUUUUCAUAAUAGUGGUGUUGUGUUCCUGAUUAUAAAAUGUUAAUGUAUUAUUUAUUAGGUAUGUUUAUGUUCCGUAUUGUCGUAUAUAACUCAUCUUUAAUCGUGCAUUAUAAUGUCAAUAAUAAUAUUCAUAAGCAUUCAUUAUAAAAAAUAACUUUGGGUUUUUAAUGUAUGUUGAUUAAUUCAAGUCACAAUAGUUUUGAGAUAGUUGAGAAAGAAAAGAAAUGUAUUUUAAUGUACUACUAUUUAUACUUGAAUUAUUUUAUGCUUGUAAUUGCCUUUAGCAAUAAAUUGUGCCGUUAAUUUUAAAUUUUAGAAAUUGUUCGUGUUUGUAUUAAUAUUGUCAUUACAUUUUUUUCCUCUCAGGAAUUUAAAUUUGAUACAUACAUGUUUUUCUCAUGUAUGUUUUAUCUGUAAGACCAAAUAUUCAAAAACAUUAAAUAUCAGUUAUCUUGGAAUGUUAUUAUGUGUAUAUCUACCUCUGUGUAAAUCAGUGGUUCUUAACCUUUGAGAAGGAUCACAGACCCCUUCAAAAAAUCUGAUGAAUAAUAUGAACCGUCCUCUGAAAAAAGUUGAAAAGCCACAUUUUCUAAAUUUUAUAUUCUAUGUUAGGUGGUUCAUAGACCUCCCAAAGUCCUUCCCUGGACCCCAGGUUAAGAACCCCUGUAAUGUUAAUGUUGCAGUUUUGUAUUAGCAUGUAUUCAUAUUCCAUUAGUGAAAACGUGUGAUUGUUUCUGGUAGAUACUUUUAAAUUUCUGAGUUCUCACAGAAUGAAAUGCCUUUUACCAGAAGGUCACUUAGUAAUCAUUUGAUAUGUCUGCCUUUAGGGCAGAGCGGGAGUUAAUGUAUGAACAUGCUGUGAAGAUUUUUUCAGUUUCAUGUGCCAGUAUGUAGAAUUGUGCUUUUGUUUCUAAUAAUGUUUUUCCUAACUAGCACUGUUAUUAUAAUUAGCUAAUAUACAGUAUUGGAAAUACUAUUUGGAGGCAUGUACUACCCAAACCUUGAGUUUUGUUUUCUUUUCAGAAUCAUAUCAAAAAGUUAGAAGGAGAGAUCUACCGAUACCACUGUGCUAUUCCUGGAAACAAGAAGACAAUCCUUAUGGUUACUAACAGGCGAGUGUUGUGUAUAAAGGAAGUUGAAAUCCUAGGCUGUAUGUCCAUAGACUGGCAGUGUCCAUUUGAAGAUUUUGUAGUUCCUCCUAGUGUCAGUGGAAAUCUGCUACAAAUUUCGGUUAAGGAGCAGGGACUGUUCCA